UGUUAAAAAUUUCAUCUAGUUGUACUAUUAAAAACUGACAUGAUUGACAGAAUAACAAGACAAUAAAAUGGGACAUGUCAUGUAUACAUCAUGAACUAACUUUUAACAUCAAGAAUGAAUGAAAUUUUUAACA
rnacentral:pre_miRNA from 1 species